rnacentral:rRNA from 1 species
UACAUGGGGUGCAAACGUUGCUCGGAAUUAUUGGGCGUAAAGCGCACGUAGGCGGUUCGUUAAGUCGGAUGUGAAAGCCCUCGGCUCAACUGAGGAAGUGCACCCGAAACCUGGCGAGCUUGAGUACGAAAGAGGAUCGCGGAAUUCCCGGUGUAGAGGUGAAAUUCGUAGAUAUCGGGAGGAACACCGGUGGCGAAGGCGGCGAUCUGGGUCGAUACUGACGCUGAGGUGCGAAAGCGUGGGGAGCAA